ACUCAAAGGAAUUGACGGGGACCCGCACAAGCGGUGGAUGAUGUGGAUUAAUUCGAUGCAACGCGAAAAAACCUUACCUACCCUUGACAUGUCAGGAAUCCCGAAGAGAUUUGGGAGUGCUCGCAAGAGAGCCUGAACACAGGUGCUGCAUGGCUGUCGUCAGCUCGUGUCGUGAGAUGUUGGGUUAAGUCCCGCAACGAGCGCAACCCUUGUCAUUAAUUGCCAUCAUUCAGUUGGGCACUUUAAUGAGACUGCCGGUGACAAACCGGAGGAAGGUGGGGAUGACGUCAAGUCCUCAUGGCCCUUAUGGGUAGGGCUUCACACGUCAUACAAUGGUCGGUCCAGAGGGUUGCCAACCCGCGAGGGGGAGCCAAUCUCAGAAAGCCGAUCGUAGUCCGGAUCGCAGUCUGCAACUCGACUGCGUGAAGUCGGAAUCGCUAGUAAUCGCGGAUCAGCAUGUCGCGGUGAAUACGUUCCCGGGUC
rnacentral:rRNA from 1 species